rnacentral:rRNA from 1 species
UGCGUAGAGUGCAAACGUUAUCCGGAUUUAUUGGGCGUAAAGAGUUGCGUAGGCUGAUUGGUGCAUUUUGCUUGAAAGCCCAUGGCUUAACCAUGGUUUUGGGCAAAAUAUGGCCAAUCUAGAUAUUAUGGGAGGGUGCUGGAACCGAUGGUGUAGCAGUGAAAUGCGUUGAUAUCAUCGGGAACACCAAAGGCGUAGGCAGGCACCUAACAUACAUAUGACGCUGAGGCACGAAAGCUGGGGGAGCGAA